UUUUUCUCUGAGAAUGUCCUCAUUUUCAUUCUGUCAGUGGCAGGAAUAGAGGCUAACUUCCUCAGAAGUUACUAGCUUAAUGCAGAAAUGAUGGAGAGAAGGACCUAUGCCUUGUUUAUUUGGGAGGAAAGGAGAGAGGUAUUGGCAGUAUCCCUCCUCCAUGAAACAGAUGAGUUCCAGGUACGGAGGACACCAGAGCACCUGUGACCCAGGAAGCUGCACGAUUUUCCAGCCCAAAAGAGAGGAAGUUUCUUAAUUAUGCUAGAAACUGCUUCUGAGUGGGCAUUUGGAAAUUGCUGAGAAAAGGCACGUGCUAAAACAGUCACAGCCAUUUGAAUUAGAGGCUCGUUUCCAGCAGCAGUGCACGACAAUGGCACACAGCUUCCCGUCCUGGUGCAAGUAUUCAUUCCCCUGAAGUUCAGUGGCUUUCGACUCUAUCAACUGUAUCUGCAAUUACAAAAACCGUUAAAGCUCCUAUAAAGAGGAUAUCAAUAGUCACAAAGGCAAGGGGACACCUUUCACACUGAAAAGCAUAUUUCAAAAUUAGGUAGCGCUGUGCAAUACCAGCGACUUCUUACACC